rnacentral:rRNA from 1 species
UCCCAGACUCCUACGGGAGGCAGCAGUGGGGAAUAUUGCACAAUGGGGGGAACCCUGAUGCAGCGACGCCGCGUGGGUGAAGGAGCACCUCGGUGCGUAAAGCCCUAUCGGCAGGGAAGAAACAGACGGUACCUGACUAAGAAGCCCCGGCUAACUACGUGCCAGCAGCCGCGGUAAUACGGAGGAUGCGAGCGUUAUCCGGAUUUAUUGGGUUUAAAGGGUGCGUAGGCGGACGCUUAAGUCAGCGGUAAAAUUGCGGGGCUCAACCUCGUCGAGCCGUUGAAACUGGGUGCCUUGAGUGGGCGAGAAGUACGCGGAAUGCGUGGUGUAGCGGUGAAAUGCAUAGAUAUCACGCAGAACUCCGAUUGCGAAGGCAGCGUACCGGCGCCCAACUGACGCUGAAGCACGAAGGCGUGGGUAUCGAACAGGAUUAGAUACCCUAGUAA